rnacentral:rRNA from 1 species
ACGAACGCUGGCGGCAUGCCUAACACAUGCAAGUCGAACGGAAAUGCUUAGCUUGCUUUGCAUUUUAGUGGCGGACGGGUGAGUAACGCGUGGGGACCUGCCCUGGAGUGGGGAACAACGACGGGAAACUGUCGCUAAUACCGCAUACGCCCUGAGGGGGAAAGGCUUCGGCCGCUCUAGGAUGGACCCGCGUCGGAUUAGCUAGUUGGUAGGGUAACGGCCUACCAAGGCGACGAUCCGUAGCUGGUCUGAGAGGAUGAUCAGCCACACUGGGACUGAGACACGGCCCAGACUCCUACGGGAGGCAGCAGUGGGGAAUAUUGGACAAUGGGGGAAACCCUGAUCCAGCAAUGCCGCGUGUGUGAAGAAGGCCUUAGGGUUGUAAAGCACUUUCGCCCGCGAAGAUGAUGACGGUAGCGGGAGAAGAAGCCCCGGCUAACUCCGU